GGCCCCGUCAGGGCCCGCCAUCUUGGAAGGCCUUUUUUGCCGGUUCUUCCCGCUGAGGAAGUGUCGCUCAAGACGCUGGCCUAUGAGUUGUGAUUUCUGCCUUUUCCCCUUCCUCCUUGGGCUAAGCCAGACCAGAAAGGGCCCCGUGCGCAACGUGCUUCACAAUCUCUCAGGGAAAGCGGCUAACGUGGCGCUACUCCGCCUCCCCUGUUCCUUACCCUUGGGGCGGCCGCCAUGUUUCCUGAACACAAAAUGGCGACACGUGAGGAAGACAAACAUAAAGAUGAAGUGCUUAAUUCAAGGUCACACAAUGUCGGGGAUGGACCUCCAGAUUUCCUUACUGGUGAGACGUGGUCUUGUAACACAGUGGUUAAGAAUGUGACUUUGGAGCCAGCCUGCUAGGGGCUGAAUUCUGACUCAGCCAUUUACUAACUGUGUGACCUUAGUCUGUCUAGUGACUGGUGUUGUCAUAAGAAGAGAGGGACACAGAGGGAAGAUGGCCACAUGAAGAUGGAGGCAGAGAUUGCAGUUAUGCUGCUGCAAACUAAGGAAUGGCUCUGGCCCUCCAAGGAUUGCUGAUAACCACCAGAAACUAGAAGAGACAAGGAAGGAUUCUUCCCUAGAGCCUUCAGAGGGAGCAUGGCCCUACUGACACCUGGAUUUCAAACUUGUAGCUUCCUAAACUGCAAGAGAAUAAAUUUCUGUUGUUUUAAGCC
ensembl:lncRNA PCBP1-AS1 PCBP1 antisense RNA 1